rnacentral:rRNA from 1 species
UGGGGAAUCUUCCGCAAUGGACGGAAGUCUGACGGAGCAACGCCGCGUGAGUGAAGAAGGUUUUCGGAUCGUAAAACUCUGUUUUCAGGGAAGAAUGUGCAGCUUGUAAAUAAUGAGUUGUAAUGACGGUACCUGAGUAGAAAGCCACGGCUAACUACGUGCCAGCAGCCGCGGUAAUACGUAGGUGGCAAGCGUUGUCCGGAAUUAUUGGGCGUAAAGCGCGCGCAGGUGGGAUAUUAAGUCUGGUGUUGAAGUUCGGGGCUCAACCCCGUGAAGCAUUUGGAAACUGAUAUUCUCGAGUGCAGGAGAGGAAAGUGGAAUUCCUAGUGUAGCGGUGAAAUGCGUAGAUAUUAGGAGGAACACCAGUGGCGAAGGCGACUUUCUGGACUGUGUCUGACACUGAGGCGCGAAAGCCAGGGUAGUGAACG